rnacentral:misc_RNA from 1 species
AAAGUCGUAACAAGGUAUCCGUAGGUGAACCUGCGGAUGGAUCAUUACAGAAAAAUGCAGAGCGGGGAAUUCUCCUCGUCUCUUGCAUAUUCUUUAUCCACACCCUUGUGCACUGUGAUGUCUCUGGCAGUUUCUCUGGUUGAGAAGUUGAGGUCGUUAGGAAUAACGAUCCCGGCUACCAGAGGCUGCCAGCAGUUUUUUAAACAAAAUUAUUUAACUUGAGCCUAAAGUAUCUUAUUUCAAAAAAUUGAAAACACAACUUUUGACAACGGAUCUCUUGGCUCUC